CAGGAGGUCGCCCACCCGCAUCGCCCGGCCGCCGUCCCCCUGGACCGCUGGCUGCUGGUGCUGACUGUCCGCUCCUCUGAUGUCAUGCUGACAGACAGACUUUCAGACGAACUUGGGGCUGACAGCAACAAAAAGUCGCGGAAAAUAUAAAUAAGGUGGGCCUAGAUGUGUGCGCGGCGUGGCGGUCGCGGGGGCGGAAGCGGUGGCGGCGUCGGAGGCGGAG